rnacentral:rRNA from 1 species
UACGUAGGGGGCAAGCGUUGUCCGGAAUCAUUGGGCGUAAAGCGCGUGUAGGCGGCCAGAAAAGUCCGCUGUGAAAACCCGAGGCUCAACCUCGGGACGUCGGCGGAAACCAUCUGGCUAGAGUUCGGGAGAGGAGAGUGGAAUUCCCGGUGUAGCGGUGAAAUGCGCAGAUAUCGGGAGGAACACCAGUGGCGAAGGCGACUACCUGGCCUGUUCUUGACGCUGAGGCGCGAAAGCUAGGGGAGCAAACGGG